CAAGGAGAGACCCUAACCGGUCCUCUCAACCCUGCCCAUCGUACCUUUUUUUGUUGUUCCCUCGGCGGUGCUCGCGGGCCCGCCGGCGGGAAGACCAAACAAACCCUUUGCAAACAAGCAUAUCGAAAUCUCUGAUCAAACAUGAAUUGUCA
rnacentral:misc_RNA from 1 species